UAGGGCGCAAGCGUUGUCCGGAAUUAUUGGGCGUAAAGAGCUCGUAGGCGGCUUGUCACGUCGGUUGUGAAAGCCCGGGGCUUAACCCCGGGUCUGCAGUCGAUACGGGCAGGCUAGAGUUCGGUAGGGGAGAUCGGAAUUCCUGGUGUAGCGGUGAAAUGCGCAGAUAUCAGGAGGAACACCGGUGGCGAAGGCGGCAUCCUGGACCGGCAUUGACGCUGAGGAGCGAAAGCCAGGGGAGCAAACGGG
rnacentral:rRNA from 1 species